CAAGUAUUUCAGCGAGUUGGAUCUGUGCAAGGCGUACUACCUGGUACCUCUCGCUGACAACGCAAAAGCUCUCAAGAGCUUUUCCAACCCACCUUGGGUUGAUGGAGUUUCGCCGCAUGCCUUUCGGUCUCUACUGCCUGUGCUACCUACAUACGCCUCGUGCGCAUUUUGCUUGGUGGGAUCUCUAAUGUCUCCUACUUCGCUAAUACUUUUGUUUAUUCAAAGGACUGGUCCGCGCAUCUAGAAGCUCUUCGAGGAGUCUUGGAACGGUUGAGGGAACAUCAUCUCGCCGUCAAGCCAUCCAAGUGUCGUUUCGGAGUCUCCUCCAUUCGCUACCUUGGAUUCAUCGUCGACGGGACGUAUCUUCAACCUCCGCAUGCUUCCACCAAGAAACUUCUCCAAGCCUUCCUUGGGCUUGUCAUUUUACCUCAUGUUUAUCCCGCAGGCAGCUGAAUACACCGACCCUUUGUCAGACUUGCUCAAGAAGAAUGUUCCCGAACCAUUGGCUUGGAGUGAAGACUUGUUGGUGCGGUUCAAACACCUCGAGGAUAAGUUUGUCUCGCCACCAGUGCUUCGUCUGCCGAACACGGAUCUGAUCUUCGUUCUGAGGACCGAUGCCUCCAGCCGCGGGGUUGGAGCAGUCCUUCUGCAGUACUGCAGCGACUGUCCACAUCCCGUCGCCUAUGCCAGUCGGAAGUUACUCGACCGUGAAACAAGCAGAUUCUUGUUUGGGGGGCCGUGUGAGGGGUAACUACACCCUGCCGGCCUUGUUAAGUCUGCCGGCCUCGUUCCGCCCUGGCUCCUCCUACUUCCGAGCCGACGUUAUAUCCCGGCUGGCGGGCUAAGGCAGACACCAGCUCACCACCACAGAGUGCACACCUCGCUUUCUCAACCUCACGCUGGUCCUUCGUCUCUCUGGGAAAGCUGCGUGUCUGGGCUCCUUGCUGCUUCUGCCCUGGCUGUACCGCCCGACCAAGUCACCACUGCUGUCUACCACUGCACUCCAGCCUAUGGACUUCACUUCCGUGGCCUUUAGCUGAGAGGAUUACAACCGGUGCACCCAACCCCGGUGACUCAGCAGGCCAACCCCUUUUACACACUACAGUGGUUUGUUUACUUUGUAGUCAAUUUGUCUUUGUUUGUGUUAAUACACUCACCCUUAUUU